GACGAACGCUGGCGGCGUGCCUAAUACAUGCAAGUUGAGCGAUGAAGAUUGGUGCUUGCACCAAUUUGAAGAGCAGCGAACGGGUGAGUAACGCGUGGGGAAUCUGCCUUUGAGCGGGGGACAACAUUUGGAAACGAAUGCUAAUACCGCAUAAUAACUUUAAACAUAAGUUUUAAGUUUGAAAGAUGCAAUUGCAUCACUCAAAGAUGAUCCCGCGUUGUAUUAGCUAGUUGGUGAGGUAAAGGCUCACCAAGGCGAUGAUACAUAGCCGACCUGAGAGGGUGAUCGGCCACAUUGGGACUGAGACACGGCCCAAACUCCUACGGGAGGCAGCAGUAGGGAAUCUUCGGCAAUGGACGAAAGUUUGACCGAGCAACGCCGCGUGAGUGAAGAAGGUUUUCGGAUCGUAAAACUCUGUUGGUAGAGAAGAACGUUGGUGAGAGUGGAAAGCUCAUCAAGUGACGGUAACUACCCAGAAAGGGACGGCUAACUACGUG
rnacentral:rRNA from 1 species